rnacentral:rRNA from 1 species
AUUGAACGCUGGCGGCAGGCCUAACACAUGCAAGUCGAGCGGAUGAGAGGAGCUUGCUUCUCGAUUCAGCGGCGGACGGGUGAGUAAUGCCUAGGAAUCUGCCUGGUAGUGGGGGACAACGUUUCGAAAGGAACGCUAAUACCGCAUACGUCCUACGGGAGAAAGCAGGGGACCUUCGGGCCUUGCGCUAUCAGAUGAGCCUAGGUCGGAUUAGCUAGUUGGUGGGGUAAUGGCUCACCAAGGCGACGAUCCGUAACUGGUCUGAGAGGAUGAUCAGUCACACUGGAACUGAGACACGGUCCAGACUCCUACGGGAGGCAGCAGUGGGGAAUAUUGGACAAUGGGCGAAAGCCUGAUCCAGCCAUGCCGCGUGUGUGAAGAAGGUCUUCGGAUUGUAAAGCACUUUAAGUUGGGAGGAAGGGUUGUAGAUUAAUACUCUGCGAUUUUGACGUUACCGACAGAAUAAGCACCGGCUAACUCUGUGCCAGCAGCCGCCGUAACAC